CAGUAGCCGCGGUAAUACGAAGGGUGCAAGCGUUAAUCGGAAUUACUGGGCGUAAAGCGUGCGUAGGCGGUGAGUUAAGUCUGCUGUGAAAUCCCCGGGCUCAACCUGGGAAUGGCAGUGGAUACUGGCUCGCUAGAGUGUGUCAGAGGAUGGUGGAACUCCCGGUGUAGCGGUGAAAUGCGUAGAGAUCGGGAGGAACAUCAGUGGCGAAGGCGGCCAUCUGGGACAACACUGACGCUGAGGCACGAAAGCGUGGGGAGCAAACAGGAUUAGAUACCCCCGUAGUCCCUGUCUCUUAUAC
rnacentral:rRNA from 1 species